rnacentral:rRNA from 1 species
UACGUAGGUGGCGAGCGUUGUCCGGAAUUAUUGGGCGUAAAGCGCGCGUAGGUGGGAUAUUAAGUCUAUUCUAAAAGUGCGGGGCUCAACCCCGUAGAGGGAUGGAAACUAAUAUUCUUGAGUACCGGAGAGGAAAGCGGAAUUCCCAGUGUAGCGGUGAAAUGCGUAGAUAUUGGGAGGAACACCAGUGGCGAAGGCGGCUUACUGGUCCGGAACUGACGCUGAGGUGCGAAAGCGUGGGGAGCAAACAGG